rnacentral:rRNA from 1 species
GAUGAACGCUGGCGGCGUGCUUAACACAUGCAAGUCGAACGAAGCACUUUAUUUGAUUUCCUUCGGGACUGAUUAUUUUGUGACUGAGUGGCGGACGGGUGAGUAACGCGUGGGUAACCUGCCUUGUACAGGGGGAUAACAGUUGGAAACGGCUGCUAAUACCGCAUAAGCGCACAGCAUCGCAUGAUGCAGUGUGAAAAACUCCGGUGGUAUAAGAUGGACCCGCGUUGGAUUAGCUAGUUGGUGAGGUAACGGCCCACCAAGGCGACGAUCCAUAGCCGACCUGAGAGGGUGACCGGCCACAUUGGGACUGAGACACGGCCCAAACUCCUACGGGAGGCAGCAGUGGGGAAUAUUGCACAAUGGGCGAAAGCCUGAUGCAGCGACGCCGCGUGAGCGAAGAAGUAUUUCGGUAUGUAAAGCUCUAUCAGCAGGGAAGAUAA